rnacentral:rRNA from 1 species
AGUGAACGCUGGCGGUAGGCCUAACACAUGCAAGUCGAACGGCAGCACAGUAAGAGCUUGCUCUUACGGGUGGCGGGUGGCGGACGGGUGAGGAAUACAUCGGAAUCUACUUUUUCGUGGGGGAUAACGUAGGGAAACUUACGCUAAUACCGCAUACGACCUACGGGUGAAAGCAGGGGAUCUUCGGACCUUGCGCGAUAGAAUGAGCCGAUGUCGGAUUAGCUAGUUGGCGGGGUAAAGGCCCACCAAGGCGACGAUCCGUAGCUGGUCUGAGAGGAUGAUCAGCCACACUGGAACUGAGACACGGCCCAGACUCCUACGGGAGGCAGCAGUGGGGAAUAUUGGACAAUGGGCGCAAGCCUGAUCCAGCCAUACCGCGUGGGUGAAGAAGGCCUUCGGGUUGUAAAGCCCUUUUGUUGGGAAAGAAAAGCAGCAGGUUAAUACCCCGCUGUUCUGACGGUACCCAAAGAAUAAGCACCGGCUAACUUCGUG